rnacentral:lncRNA from 1 species
UGGAACAAUGUUUAAGUUUUCAAAAAUUUUGUAUCUGCUCGGUUUAGUCCCUACCACUUUCUAAAGCAUGUUUAAGGUAUCAUUGACCUAAGAAAGGGACUUAUUGUUGAUAUUUGAAUAUGAUAUGAAAAUGUAUGAUUGUUGACUGUGAAAUGAUUAUGAAAUGUUCUGAUAUUCCAGUAAUGCCUCUUUACCCUAAUCCAGUGAAGGAUACGGGUUAGGGGUAUUACAAACUCAUGCCAGGCUUGCUCGACAAGGAUCCGCAUGCUGCUCGCUCAUCCGGC